rnacentral:lncRNA from 1 species
CUUCUCAAUAUACUUUCUUUUCUUCAUGAGAAGUUCUUUCAAAAAUUUCGCAUAUGAAGGCAUUUGCUGAAAUGCUUCAAAAAAUGGUAUGGUGAUUUCCAACUUCUUAAAGAUCUCCAUAAAACGCUCAAACUGUUUUUCUUUCUCUUAAGGUUUUUUCAUACUCUUUAUCUCUUAAUUUUUCAACCCCUUUUUCCUGAGUUUCUCCCUCAUCUCUCAAUUUUUUUAUCACAAUUUCUUCUUUCUCACUUUCCUCCCUCUAAUCACUCUUUUUUUCAUCACUCUCUUUUUCUUUCUCUCCUUUCUCAAUUUUUCUCUCCUCUAAUAAUCUUCCACUCCUAUUAACAAUCUCACAUGUUUCUCUUACAUUACUCCUUUCAUUCAUUUUGCAACCACACUCCUCCAGACGAUUAACAUAGAAUAUAC